UGGUAGCCCAGUGACUGAGCAGCGCCAUG
rnacentral:piRNA from 1 species